UUGGGGAAUUUUGGACAAUGGGCGCAAGCCUGAUCCAGCAAUGCCGCGUGCAGGAAGAAGGCCUUCGGGUUGUAAACUGCUUUUGUACGGAACGAAACGGUCCGGGUUAAUACCCUGGGCUAAUGACGGUACCGUAAGAAUAAGCACCGGCUAACUACGGGCCAGCAGCCGCGGUAAUACGUAGGGUGCAAGCGUUAAUCGGAAUUACUGGGCGUAAAGCGUGCGCAGGCGGUUUUGUAAGACAGGCGUGAAAUCCCCGGGCACAACCUGGGAAUUGCGCUUGUGACUGCAAGGCUGGAGUGCGGCAGAGGGGGAUGGAAUUCCGCGUGUAGCAGUGAAAUGCGUAGAUAUGCGGAGGAACACCGAUGGCGAAGGCAAUCCCCUGGGCCUGCACUGACGCUCAUGCACGAAAGCGUGGGGAGCAAACAGGAUUAGAAACCCUGGUAGUCC
rnacentral:rRNA from 1 species